rnacentral:rRNA from 1 species
UAACGCGUGAGGAACCUGCCUCAAAGAGGGGGACAACNNUUGGAGACGACUGCUAAUACCGCAUAAGCCCACGGCUCGGCNUCGAGCAGAGGGAAAAGGAGCAAUCCGCUUUGAGAUGGCCUCGCGUCCGAUUAGCUAGUUGGUGAGGUAACGGCCCACCAAGGCGACGAUCGGUAGCCGGACUGAGAGGUUGAACGGCCACAUUGGGACUGAGACACGGCCCAGACUCCUACGGGAGGCAGCAGUGGGGAAUAUUGCACANUGGGGGAAACCCUGAUGCAGCGACGCCGCGUGGAGGAAGAAGGUCUUCGGAUUGUAAACUCCUGUUGUUGAGGAAGAUAAUGACGGUACUCAACAAGGAAGUGACGGCUAACUACGUGCCAGCAGCCGCGGUAAAACGUAGGUCACAAGCGUUGUCCGGAAUUACUGGGUGUAAAGGGAGCGCCGGCGGGAGAACAAGUUGGAAGUGAAAUCCAUGGGCUCAACCCAUGAACUGCUUUCAAAACUGUUUUUCUUGAGUAGUGCAGAGGUAGGCGGAAUUCCCGGUGUAGCGGUGGAAUGCGUAGAUAUCGGGAGGAACACCAGUGGCGAAGGCGGNCUACUGGGCACCAACUGACGCUGAGGCUCGAAAGUGUGGGUAGCAAACAGGAUUAGAUACCCUGGUAGUCCACACCGUAAACGAUGAUUACUAGGUGU